rnacentral:lncRNA from 1 species
CCCUUUUAUGAGAUGGUUAUCGUUAAUGGGAGUAUAUGCAUAUAUUACAUUAUAUUAAUAUGAAUUUUUCCUCUUUUGUAGAUAGUUUUUGAUUGUGUUACUGUAUAUUACUGUGCUAUUGUAUGAUUGGACUGGUAGUGUGCCUGAAUUUAAAGUGAAGGACUUUAGUUUGAGAAUCAUAUUGAAUGUAAAGUUAAUAUUAAAGGCUGCUACAGCUGUAGGCACACUUAUCCUAUUUAUGUGUUGUUUUAUUUAUUAAAUAAUUUAUAUUCGUUUGAGUUGGCGAAUUAGAAUAUAAA